rnacentral:rRNA from 1 species
UACAGAGGGGGCAAGCGUUAUUCGGAAUUAUUGGGCGUAAAGGGCGCGUAGGCGGCCUGGCAAGUGACGGGUGAAAGCCCUCGGCUCAACCGAGGAAUUGCCUGUCAUACUGCCGGGCUUGAGUCCGGGAGAGGUGAGUGGAAUUCCCAGUGUAGCGGUGAAAUGCGUAGAUAUUGGGAGGAACACCAGUGGCGAAGGCGGCUCACUGGACCGGAACUGACGCUGAGGCGCGAAAGCGUGGGGAGCAAACAGG